rnacentral:rRNA from 1 species
UACGUAGGGUGCGAGCGUUGUCCGGAAUUAUUGGGGCGUAAAGGGCUCGUAGGCGGUUUGUCGCGUCGGGAGUGAAAACCUCGGGCUUAACUCGGGGCUUGCUUUCGAUACGGGCAGACUAGAGGUAUGCAGGGGAGAACGGAAUUCCUGGUGUAGCGGUGAAAUGCGCAGAUAUCAGGAGGAACACCGGUGGCGAAGGCGGUCUACUCGGUC